rnacentral:rRNA from 1 species
UUUUUGAAUUUUUUUUAAAGUCUAGCCUGCCCACUGAAUUUUUUUAAAUGGCCGCAGUAUACUAACUGUGCAAAGGUAGCAUAAUCAUUAGUCUUUUAAUUGAAGGCUGGUAUGAAUGGUUGGACGAGAUAUUAACUGUUUCAUAAAAAUUUAUAAUAGAAUUUUAUUUUUUAGUCAAAAAGCUAAAAUAUAUUUAAAAGACGAGAAGACCCUAUAAAUCUUUAUAUUUAGAUUAUUAUAAUUUUAUAGAUUUUUUUUGUUAUAAUAAUUGAUAAUAUUUUAUUGGGGUGAUAUUAAAAUUUGAUAAACUUUUAAUUGUUUAAAUCAUUAAUUUAUGAAUAAUUGAUCCGUUAUUAGCGAUUAAAAAAAUAAGUUACUUUAGGGAUAACAGCGUAAUUUUUUUGGAGAGUUCAUAUCGAUAAAAAAGAUUGCGACCUCGAUGUUGGAUUAAGAUAUAAUUUUAGGUGUAGCCGCUUAAAUUUUAAGUCUGUUCGACUUUUAAAUUCUUACAUGAUCUGAGUUCAAACCGGCGUAAGCCAGGUUGGUUUCUAUCUUUAAAAAAUUAAAAUAUUUCAGUACGAAAGGACCUAAUAUUUGAUAAAUUAUUAUUUUUUAUAUUGAAUAUAAUUAAUAUAAAUACUAUUUUGG